ensembl:snRNA U1 U1 spliceosomal RNA
AUACUUACCUGGCAGGGCAGAUACCAUGAUCACGAAGGUGCUUUCCACAGGGUGAGGCUUAUCCAUUGCACUGUGGAUGUGCUGACUCCUGUGAUUUCCCCAAAUGUGGGAAACUCAAUUGCAUAAUUUAUGGUAGUGGGGGGACUAUGUUCACGCUCUCCGA